CUUGUUCUGUAGACCAGACUAUUGACAAACGCACAGAGAUCUGCCUGCCUCUGUCUCCCAAGUGCUAGGAUUAGAGGUGUGUGUCACCACUGCAGUUUUUCAGCCUUAUGUGUGUGUGUGGUAAUUCUUUAUUUGUGAUAAAUUGCUUGACUUAGUAAAAUUAUUUGUGACUACAUGAUAACAAACAUGUUUGAACAUAACAGUUUAAUUAAUAUCACAGAACAGAAAUAUACAUACAUAUAUAUGUGUGUGUAUACACAUACAUAUUAUUUGUUUUUUUUUUAAUGGGAAUCCCUUCUUAAGUAAUACCAAGAAGCAAGCAAGGGGAUUAGAAACUGUCUUUGGACUUAAGUUUUUCCCUUCCGGGUAAAAUUCAGAUUUUUAAGUUAGCUUUCAGAGAUCAGUAAAGGAGUUCUAGAGAAUUCUUACCACUGAAAUAAUUCUAGUAAAUUUCACCUGGGAGCCCUCAGGUUUGGAGUAGUGAGGCUCGGCCUGUGGCCCACUCUAACAGCUGGCUGGUGAUAGAGCAUUGUCUCAUAGCCUUUGGUUUAUACUUGUACUAGUUAAAAGACAGGAGCGCUGUUAGCACUGCUGUUAGGAUAUGACAGACAAAUGCAGCCAGAUGGUUUUCACCUACAUCUUUUUCUAUCUAACCGAGAUUUCUUAACCACAGAUUUUUGUCUUUAUGUACCUAAAAAUUUAAUGGCUUUGACAGUAUUGAUAUCUGACUUGUUCAUGUCACUAUGAUUGCUUUUUGCAUUUGUUUCCGUAUUGAUGAUAUUGAAUGUGCCUUAUUCAGAUCAAUUGCUGGUUAACAUACAAAAAAAUCUUAAUUUUUCCUAGUUGAUUUAUUUUUGACUAAAAUUUCCCAAAUAAAGAGUUACAGAAAUGGGCAUGUGGUCAUCAAUGGUGGGAAGGGUCAAAAGUAUCCUGGAAACAUCAAGCGAUGUUGGUGGCUGUCAGUGGAGAGUGCAGUGCAGGCAGUGCCUGGAACACUUGGCUGCGUUUACGUAGCUUUCAUUCCCACUGUACCUGGUGCUCUUGACUAGGGAAGAGUGAAACAGUAAGCCCAGCCAUGGGAGUUGUUCCGAACGUGGGGCGUGCCAACUGGGGAUGUGUUAAAUGUGUAUGUGUCCAUACCUUGUGUGUUGGAAGUGGGGAGGUGGUUUGUGUCAAAAAUUCACACUUAGAAGCCAGGGAAGAUGGUUUAGUAAAGUGCUCGCUGUGCAAACAUGAGGCUCAGAGUUUGGAUCCCGGCAUACACAUGACAAGUUGGGCUUCCUGCAAAUGACUGAAUCUUGACACCCCAGGAUCUGACACAUGGCAUCUGAAGUCUGCUUGGACAGGCACACACUGACAUACACACACUCGCAAAUAAAUCUAAAGCAGAAAAACUGAAUGGCAGCACGUCUGUAGAUCCAGCUCAAUCUAUAAUUCUAGAUUCAAUGAGAGACCUUCUCAAAAAAUGUGGAGUGUAAUCGAGGAAGACAUUCAACAUUGAUCUCUUACACACACACACACACACACACACACACACACACACACACCACUCCUCAACACCCCAACCUCGGGCCUGGAGUGAUAGCUCAGUUGGUAAAAUGCUUGUCUUGGAAGCACAGUGUCCUGUGGUCAAUCUCCACACCACCUGUUUAAAAAAAAGAAAAGUCUGGAUGUAGUGGCACAGGCUUGUUAGCCCAGCACUGGGGAAGCAUGAGACACAGAUCCCUGGGCUUGAGGGCCAACCUGUCUAGUCUUCUUGUCACUCUCCAGGCCUGUCUCAAAAAACAAGAUGGACCGUACCUAAGGAAGGACACCCACACACCAGAAAAAUUCACUCUGAGAAAGUUGCCACACUGGAAUUAAUGAGUAGAAUCCUGGGUUCCAUGCUUCUGGCCCCUCCCUGCUGGGGCUGGGCCCUGCUGUCCACCCUCAACUCAGACCUGUGUGUUUCUUGACUAAUUUCCUAUUUGAUUCUUGCAGUUUAGGAAAGCAUAUUAAGAACUUUUGGCUAGCCAGAGUGCCGAUGAACCUGCUCGCAGAGAAUGGCGCUUCUUUUUUUUUCUUUCCAGGCAGCAUCUCUUUGUAGCUUUGGAGGCUGUCCUGGAACUCACUCUGUAGACCAGGCUGGCCUCAAACUCCCAGAGAUCCACCUGCCUCUGAGAAUGGGGCUUCUUAAAUGUAGUCCAAAUAGCUACAAUGAAUGUGUAGCAUGGUGGCAGUUUUAUUUUUAAGUGUUUAGGUUAAAAGGCUAGAAAAUUGCUUAUCUACCCCCAACACAAACUGGGUAGUAGUCAGAGUUCCUAGGCAACAUAAUCAAACUUGGGAAGAUUAAAACCUUCUAAAACAAAGCAAAACUAAGUCUUCCUAUUCAGAGAGCCCUGGUGAAGGCAUGAACUGUCAGGGCCUCCAGAGGUGGCUCAGUGGUUAAGACCACUCUCUACUCUUGUAGAGGAUGGGUGUUCAGUUCCUGGCAACUGCAUUUGGUGUCUCACAGCCAUCUAACUCCAGCUCCAGGGGAUCUGAUACCCUCAUGCACAUGCACACAUACACAUAAAUAAAUAAUUUUGAAAAAACAGAUGAGCUGUCAAUAUAAUAAUGCUAUGAGAUUAUUUCCUGAGAUGUAAUUUCAGGUUCUCAUUUGGGUUGACACCAAAUCUGCAAACAGCAAAGAUAAGCUUGGAGCUUAGGAGCACUUGCUAAUCUUGCAGAGGACGUAGGUUUGGUUCCUAGCACCCACAUGGUUAGCUUUCCACUGUCUGUCUAGGUACUAUAAGGAGGGGGCCUGGGAUAGAGAUUUCUGGAGAGAAGGCUGUGGGGGUGGUGGGAGGGAAGUGGUAUAUGGACAUUAAUGGAUGUCUUUUCCUGGGGACCUUUAAGUUCCCUUCUUCCUGAGUCCUCUGUCUUCCAUCCCACAGGAUACCCACAGGCUAGGAGGAAGGUCACAUCCCACUGCUGCCUGGCAAACAGAGCCUUGUACUCCCCGCUUAUCUUCUGGGCACUUCUCCAUCCUAUAUCUAUACCUGAGUCUGGGGCCAUUGUUAACGCCUCUCCUGUUUCAUUUUCAAUAUGCUGCCUGUUCGGGUCUCCCCACUCCUCCCGCUGGGUAGGCUAUGAGCUCUCUUCCAAGCCCUUCUUUCUGUAUUUGAAGCCAGAUUUCAUGUGACGAGUAGAGAUAAUGACCUGUGUCAUUCUGCGUUCCUCUGGAGUUGUAGAGCCCCAUUCUGCCAGGACAGGCAGAAUGAGGCUAGCUUAAAACCUUUUUAAACUAUGGAAGUAGAUCUAAAUAAGGUAGUUCUAACAUGAAUGCUUUGAGAGUUUUGGGAGUCAUAACUAGCUUUGGAAGGGUAGUGGUGAUGGCCGCUCAAUAUUUGAGUAAACCUAUGGCAUGGAAUCCUAUAUACACUUCAAAAUUCAAAAUGGUUCACUAUCCACAGUUUGUGUGGUUUUCUUUUGCUGUUACAAGAAAUACUUUCAAAUUCAUACAGUGCAGACCUGUGUUGUUUGACCCCAGGUUUUUUUUUUUUUUUUUUUUUUUUUUUUAGCCCAGUCUUCGGCUCUUGGCCUUGUGGGUGAGAAAAUUGUCUCUUUCCCUGUUUAGAGGUGACAGAGAGUCUUGGUGUAAGCCAAACCCCAGCUCCACAUCUGGAGACAUGAAGCACGGCAGCUUCUCAGACACCAUCAAUGUGUCCACAUGGCUAAGCCUGGCUCACUCCACACACCAGACAAGCUUUACCCAUGGGUCUGUGUCAGAUGACCCAGCACACACUCCCACUUUUCAGGAUUGGUUUUCAUAUAAGUUUACUUGGAAAAAUCUUUUGGAAUGUAAAAUGACAAAAAUAAAAAAGAAAAAAUCAGCAGGGCAUGAAGGCAUAGCACUCAGGCAGAGGUAAGGGGGUCAGGAUUCAAGAUUAUGUUCAGCUACAAGGGUUGUCUUUGUUGGUUUGGGCCUGGCUGUCCUGAAACUGGGAUGUGCAGACCAGACUGGCCUCACAGAGAUCCACCUGCCUCUGCCUCCCGAGUGCUGGGAUUAAAUGUGUGCACCAUCCAGCCUGGCCACGUGGGCUACACUUGACCCUGUCUCAGAGUAACAGCAACAAGAUCAAAAUGAUAUAAUAGGGAAUAAAUUUAAAAGGCCUCAUUCCUAUACCCUUGUCAUUCCCAAUCUUUUCUCGGUGUGUGUGUGUGUGUGUGUGUGUGUGUGUGUCCCCGUUGUGGGUUAUAUAUGGGCCUGUUUGUGUGCCUGUCUAUGUACACAGAGGUAGGAGGAGGAUGUUGCUUAUACUGCUCAUCAUUCUUCCUCAGCAACUUCUGACUCUGUCCCUUGAGUGCUAAGGUUACAUGUUCAGUCACAUCAGAUUUUUUACACGGUUGUUGUGGAUGUGAACUUGAGGAACCAAAAAUUAAAAUUAAUAAAAGUUUAAGAACUCAAGCCCUAAAUCUAUACAGAAAAAUGGAACUUCUAACAGUAAAGGAAAAUUUAACUUCUUAAGUCAGGAGUGCUGCGGCUGGCACCUGAGCCCUGCUCUCAGAGAAAGGGAGGUGACUCUCCACCACUUGGGUCAAUAUUCCUGUCUGCUAAUUGCUGUUUGUAAGGUUGUAAAGAUCCCCAGGCCAGGGGAUAACUGACAGACCCUGUGACUCUGUAAAUCUGUAACCCUAUGCCCUGUCUUACCUUAAAAUACAUAGUUACUGCUUUACUCUGUACUUUGUAUGACCUUAAGUAAUCAUGGAAACUCUAAAAAUCUGUGCCCUUCAACCUGAUGGUCUGCCCCUUUAAAAGCUUCUCUUUUUGGCUGUUUGGGGUCUCAUUUCCCCCACCAUGGACUGAGAUUCAAACUGGCAGGCUUGAACAAUAAAAAGAAACCUUUUGCUUUUGCAUCAGAAGUGUUAACUCCUUGGGUUGGUCUUUGGGCUCUGAGAACCUGGCACAACAAGCUCAGGUACUCAUGUUUGUGCAACAAGCUUUCUUACAUGCUGAGCCGUCUUUCCAGGCCCCCACAGAAGACUGUAUAAAAUGAUUUAUUUCUACUUCAUUUUUGGGUGUGAGUGUUUUGCCUUCACAUGUAUCUGUGUAUCGUGUCCAUGCAGUGCCUACAAAGACCAGAAGAGACCAUUAGAUCCCCUAGAACUGGAGUUAUAGACAGCUAUGAACCCCCAUAUGGGUGCUGAAAAUUGAAUGUUGGUCCUCUGUGAGAGCCACCAGUGCGCUUAACCACUGAACUAUCCAGUCCCCAAGAGGAGACUGCUUUUUUAUUGGAGUGCGUAACCUUGAAAUUUUCUUAUCUCAGGCAUGUUUUAUGUUACAACUUUCGUCUAUUUUAAAAUUUCUUAUUUUUUUUCCUUUUAGGCUUCUCCUCCAUUGUUCCCAGUCCCAGACCCCUUCUCCUUAGGGGAGGGGCAGACAGGAUGGGAAGAGGGAUUCAGGGCAAGGAAGAAUAGGGCAGUGAGAGUCUCAAUAUCUAGAGGGCUGAGGUCUGGGUUUUAUUAAUCACUCUUGGUUUGGGGAUGGAGUUCAGAGGACUUUAGGAGAAGGUGAGGGUUCUAGCUUAGUUUUAAAAUGUUUAUGUGAUUGUUUCAAGGUGAGAGCUCUUGUUAGUUUUCAGAGCAAGAGUAUAAUUCUCAAUAGGUCAAAGAACCCCAGGUCAAGGGCUGCCCCUUUGUGGAUGGGCAGGAGUGGACACAGGUGUGGUUUAUGCCAAAGGACCUCAGAUAGAGCCUGAGAUGCCCCCUACUCAGGCUCAUGUCAUUGCAUGGUCAAAUCCAGAAGGGAAGGUGAACUCAAGUACUCAAGGAGACUCAGCCACCAAGCAUCUGGUGCCCAUCCCUAUGGGGACGGGAACUGUCACACCUAUUUGAACUUUCCAAGAUGGUGCUCUUCAUUUCCCACCUCGAUGUGCUUGGUGUAUGGCAGAGGGGGCCCACAGUGAUAAGGUAGCGAGGAAGUGUGAUAGCCAAACGUUUCCCCGAGGCCCGGAUCAAGUCUCCUCCAGGACUGCUUGUGUUUGGUAAGAGACCUCUUUGGGAGCUGGUACACCCGGGGUUGUGGGGUGAGUCUUAAGGAAGGAGAUGUGACUUCCUCCUUGGUUGGGGCAAGGUCUUGGCAGGCUAUUCAUUGCUUGCAUUUCUGGAACAGGUCAGGGCUACUCAAAAGAGGAGUCCGUGAGAAACUACCCUCCUUAAUCAUGAGAAAUGGUUUUUUGUCCUAAAUACAUCAAGAUGCUUCCUGACAGAUGACAUAGAUCUGCCAAGGUGUGGGCACGCUGCAGUGUUGGAAUAAACCUGGAACAAACUGCCAGACCCUAACCAAUCUCUCUACAACCGUCUCCCGUCUCUCCCUCCCCAUACCACACAGGACUGAUUGCGUAACACUGUUAAGUCUUCUGAGAAACAACAAUUUGACCCAAAAGUAGAGAGAGGUGGCGAAGCUGCAGGCCUACAAUGGGAGGGGGCAGAAGUCUGUACUACUGAAUUCAUCAUCCUGGCCAAGACACCUGUAAGAACUGUCAAAUAAAUACUGUAAAACUUGCGUUUAGGACAAGAAAUUCACAUCUUUUUAUCUCCUCCACCAAGCAAGACUUUUAUGCAAAAAAAUUUAAUAACCUUUCCACCCACUAAAAUAUUUGUUUACACAAAGGCCCUGCUGUAUUCUGGGAACUUGAUGGUCUGGAACAGUGACCCCGACACCUUGGAGCAAUGGCCCCUCCCCUUUCUCCUGCAGUUCCUGUGCACUAAUUCUUUUCAGGCUAGUCAGUUGAAUAUGACUGUGAGGAUCCCAGGCAAUGGGGGAAAAGACAGUCACCCCAGGAGUGAGAAUAAAAACCAAAUACAUUUCCUGUCCAUGGGUGUUUGCUCUUCAGAGUACUGAAGUUUUGAUCAAUAAUAAAGUUUGCCAUGUCUGGGCAUUUCA